AGAUACUUUCUUGAUGUCACGAUCUUGAUGUGCAUGACCAUGCAUGCACGAACUGCUUAUCACAUCUAUCAAUACUAGCCAGUGGCGAAGCGUAGUAUCGGACAGUUCUUGUUAAUCCUGUUUAUACCUCUUUUUCGUCUCUUAAAUGAUCCGAAAAAGUUUCACGGGAAUACAAAUUAGACAUUUCGUACUCUGUUUCUUAAAAUUCUUCAAGGAAAACAGUAAGAAAUGAGGAAAGAAAUCUGUGGAUAUGCUUGUUUAAAAAAGAACAUCUCUUCUCAGUCUGCGGGAAAUCGCGCAGACGUCUUAAAUCAUCCUGUGAAAUCAUACUAUAAAGAGAGGUUAAAUUCUGAGGAGAUUCUGAAGCGCACAAACUGCUUUGCAACUAUAAUUCAGCGGUAUAUGAGAAUGAUUUUGCGAAUUGCGAGAAUUGUAUCACUUACCAUUAUG